GGUGCGGAGUUUCAUCCCGCUGGGAUUUGGGGCGAGGAAAGGGGAUAACGGGGAGUGGAGAGCUGCCGGCUACCGUGCGGCCGUGCUGUCCCGUCCCGUUCCCACCGGCAAUCCCAGCGCGUUCCCCGGUUGCUAAGGGCUCAUAGGACGCGCGUUGCAACCGAGCGCAAGAAGUCUCUGGCCGAGAUGCCUUCCCCAGCUCCAGAGAUAAGAUAAAUAAUUUACUGGAUGGAGGUCUCUGAUUACUCACUCUAUUAGCAUUUGGAGCAAAGAUCUCCAGCCACCAGGAGCUGAAUUAUUCCAGACGAAGCCCAUCUGGGCUCCCUCGCCCCGGUGCGACCGAGGAGUUCCCAACAUCCCACACAUACUUGUGGCAUGAAUUGCUUGAAAUCGAAUGGGCUUUACUGGAAAUGCUGCUGAGCUCUCGACUCUUUUAUAUUUAUAUAUAUAUAUGUGUGUGUGUGU